rnacentral:rRNA from 1 species
GAUGAACGCUAGCUACAGGCUUAACACAUGCAAGUCGAGGGGCAGCAUGGUCUUAGCUUGCUAAGGCCGAUGGCGACCGGCGCACGGGUGAGUAACGCGUAUCCAACCUGCCUUACACUCUUGGACAGCCUUCUGAAAGGGAGAUUAAUAUAAGAUGUUAUCAUGAGUAAGCAUUUUCGCAUGAUUAAAGGUUUACCGGUGUAAGAUGGGGAUGCGUUCCAUUAGAUAGUAGGCGGGGUAACGGCCCACCUAGUCUUCGAUGGAUAGGGGUUCUGAGAGGAAGGUCCCCCACAUUGGAACUGAGACACGGUCCAAACUCCUACGGGAGGCAGCAGUGAGGAAUAUUGGUCAAAUGGACGAGAGACUGAACCAGCCAAGUAGCGUGAAGGAUGAAGGUUCUAUGGAUUGUAAACUCUUUUAUACGGAAUAAACGAAUCCACGUGUGGAUUUUUGCUAUGUACCGUAUGAAUAAGGAUCGGCUAACUCCGUGCCAGCAGCCG